CCUACGGGCGGCAGCAGUGGGGAAUAUUGCACAAUGGGGGAAACCCUGAUGCAGCGACGCCGCGUGAGUGAGGAAGUAUUUCGGUAUGUAAAGCUCUAUCAGCAGGGAAGAAAAUGACGGUACCUGACUAAGAAGCCACGGCUAACUACGUGCCAGCAGCCGCGGUAAUACGUAGGGGGCAAGCGUUAUCCGGAUUUACGGGGUGUAGAAGGAGAGUAGACGGCUAAUCAAGUAAGUAGUGAAAUCCCAAGGCUCAACCUUGGGACUGCUUCUGAAACUGAGUAGCUAGAGUGCAGGAGAGGCAAGCGGAAUUCCUGGUGUAGCGGUGAAAUGCGUAGAUAUUAGGAGGAACACCAGUGGCGAAGGCGGGUUACUGGACUGUAACUGACGUUGAGGCUCGAAAGCGUGGGGAGCAAACAGGAUUAGAUACCCGGGUAGUC
rnacentral:rRNA from 1 species